GGCCCCGUAGCUCAGCUGGAUAGAGCGUCCCCCUCCUAAGGAAGAGGGGAAAUUGAGGGGCCA
rnacentral:tRNA from 1 species